UGAGAAGGUCCAGAGUGUGGGCGGUACCACAGAGAGGAAGUCAUCAAAGCUGUAGCCUACAUCUUGUGAGCUCACGCCUCACCUGGGCCCCACAGAGCAGAAAGCAGCAUUGACAACAGCAACACACAAAAUGUGAUUUUUUAUUUUUACCCCCUCAGAAGCGGCUGCGGUGGUGUCUGCCUGGCGCUGCUCUAAACCGCGUUCACAUGACAGGAAUCAAACGCUGCGGUCAACGCCAAGUUAGGCCGUGAUUACACAUGAGAAGAAUCGAGUGCCGCCAGCUGUUGAAACUUGACGUCAUGCAAGCAGAAAAGCCGUUGGUUUGGAAAACUAACAGCCGGUGAUAGAGUCUGACCAUGAGCCAAUAGUGCGUGAUGAAGCAAGGGUUGGCCACUCCCACCCAGACCAACGCUGUGACCAAUCGCAGAGCCCCGUGUAGCGCUGAAAUUUACCCCCAAGAAAAGAAAAAAUAUGCUUCUCAUGCAAAGCAAAAUCGUUAACCAAUCAUUAGUGGGUGGCCAAUCAGAAGAGAGACAGGAAGGACUGACCAUGUCAGACAUCCUGUCAGACAGCCAGCACUCAUAACUCCAGCUCCAGCUCCAGCUCUGCACCCAGCUCCAGCUCCAGCUCUGCACCCAGCUCCAGCUCCAGCUCUGCACCCAGCUCCAGCUCCAGCUCUGCACCCAGCUCCAGCUCCAGCUCUGCACCCAGCUCCAGCUCCAGCUCUGCACCCAGCUCUGGCCCCGCCUCCAGCUUAAGCUCCGCCUUCAGUUCUGGCUCCGCCUCCAACUCUCACAGUGAGUCUUAUGCUGUAUCUGGGACCAUUAAGACAGUCUAUGCUGCUACAAUCAGACACUGAACACGUGCGGUACUGUCAGACACUCAACACAUGCACUACAAUCAGACACUCAACACAUGCGGUACAGUCAGACACUCAACACAUGCGCUACAAUCAGACACUCAACACAUGCGCUACAAUCAGACACUCAACACAUGUGCUACAGUCAGACACUCAACACAGCUAUAAUCAGACACUCAACACAUGCGCUACAGUCAGACACUCAACACAGCUGCAAUCAGACACUCAACACGUGCACUACAAUCAGACACUAAACACAUGCGCUACAGUCAGACACUCAACACAUUGGCUGCAAUAAUGCAUAUGUGCAUAUAUGGAGGAAUAAUUGUGAAAUUCAUUAAUUAGUUGAUUAAUAAAAAAACAAAAGGCCAACCUAUAGUAAAUAUAUAAAAUAAAGAAAUAAAAUGGCAACAUAAAUAUCUGCAAUGUAACAUACAAUUAUUGAUGUUGACAUUUUCACUUUUAUGUAAUUAAUUGUGUAAUUAUUCUUAUUAACCAAUAUUAUCCCCCCAGUAGGCUACCCUCUUUCGCAAAAAUAAAGGUAUUGCAUACUUUCUUAAUAGAGAAAUAGUUAUUAAUAAAACAGUAUGGCUAAUUAAGCAUUUUAAAUGCUUAUCAGUCAUGGCACAAAGUGACUUUAAAGCUAGCAGAAACUGCAGAAAUAUAAAUCUUCUUUUUGAAGGCCAUUUUCUUUAGAAAAUCAUCAUGUCCCUCAUUAUGUGUAUGUGGGCAGAGGACCCUUAUUAGUUAUGCAUUUAGCAGAGAGUCGUGUCUGGGGUGCCAUAGAGCUCUUCCCUUCCACGUGUCCUCCAUUCACACAGCUGAAUGUUUACUGAAUCUGCGAAGGUGAAGUGUGCAGUGAAAUGUCCGGUGUUAAUUCAGCGCUGGUGGAGCACAUGUGAGGCCAGGAGGGGCUCGGGUGGAGCGGCAGUGCCUCAGCUGGGAGCGUCACCUGUCUGGGCCUCCGCACAGCUUCCCUCUGUUACGCAGGUGCAUGCUUAACUGGGUGAAAGUUCACCUUUCAAGUUCUAUUUUUAAAGCCAGUCAUCACACCCAAAAGUACUUCCACAUGCCAGUGUGUGGAAGCACACCGCUUUUAAGAAAGGUUUUUUUUUUUUUUUUUGAAGCCCUCUUUUAAAUAUAGGUGCUGCACCCAUUAGAGUUAAGACUAAUUUUAAGACGCCAUUUUGAACUUAAAAAUACUCCCAGGGUCGUGUGAUGUGGCUUCCUUCCUGCUUCACGUGUAAGAGAGCUUUCCGUAAAUGGUAUUUACGUUCAUAUAAAGUGUGUCUUUGUAUGUAUUUGUUCAUGGAUGCGUGUUUGUGAAUCAAAAGAACUUACAUUUGAUCAAAAAGAAGGUAAAAUGAAAAAUGCCUCAAAAUAAGGGAAAGUAGAUGCAAGCAGUAAUAGAAACGCGCACGAGCACACACACACACACACACACGCUCAUACAGACACACACACCUACACUCUCACAUGCGCUUAUACAGACACACACACGCUCAUACACACACACACACCUACACUCUCACACACGCU